UCUUUAGUAUAGAACUAGUCCAUACUUUUGCAAAUGGGGUGACAGGUCGAAGGCAAGCGUGUCUUGACAAACACCUCACCAUGUACUUGCCACUGUACAUACAGCAGUUUGAUAGAAUUGUAAGAUGGCCAGUAAGAGUUUUGCCUAUGCACCAUAUGCUCGUGUUUCGACUACGUGAUAUUGUGCUUGCGAAGAUGGUCUUCAAAAGAAAUUUGAAAACAAAUCAGUUCUGGUUAACUUUAUAACCAUUUGAAUCGUCAAAAAGCUAUGGCGGGGCUAGUGUCAGAAGGUGUUUAAAAGAUUUUAAAAUCGACUUCUAGUGUAACCUUGAAGGCUUGAAGCAAUGAAACAUAUCGUUUGGUGAUUUGUUCGUAUUAUAUUGCCAUGCUGCAUCUGUGGCUUUGAAAGAAUAGAUAGAAGGUCUACAAGAAGUCAAGAACUAGACAAGUCAAUGGAAAUCUUAACCUUGUGAUGAUAUGCAGAGAGUUUCUUAAUGAUGUCAAACCUUCACUACUAAGUGAAUUGGACACCGAAUAUGAGAAAACCCCUUUGAGGGACCUGCGGCUCCAAAGAGAGUUAUUAAGACGAUUGCUUUAAUACCAACCUCUGCUAGAGGUAUGGUGUAUGGUUCACCUAGAGAAGUUAUCUGUAAAGGGUUAUAAGAGUCCCUGAUUUGAAGAUGAAUAUGGAGUUAACAGUAGAGAAAAUUAUGGAAGAGGCUAAUAAACGUAUUCAACCAACUGGAACUGGAUAAUUGUUUAUGGUCUACGGAGACGACUUUUGGAAAGUAACAAGUCAUGUAAUGCUAUAUGAUUACCUUUGGAGAUGGAGGUCUUUUAGCAUCCAUGAAAGUAGCUUUCGAGAAGAAAAUCAAGCAAAUUCUAUUCGAUGAUCUGAAGUGUCUCGGUGACAAAAAUAAGCUUAUGAGAGAUUGCACUUUGGCUGCUAUUGAUAUGUGGCUUGAGUUUUGGUUAUGUGCGUCUUGGUUGAUGGAAAAAUGGAAGUAAAAGAACAUAAAGAGCGUUUUCAUUGGCUGACACAACAUCUUUCGGGAAUAUUAACAUUGUGGAUGCUAUACCUUUACUGAAACUUGUUCGAAUCCACAGCUGUACAAAAAAACAAUCAAGGAUGCAUUUCAGAGAUCUUGCAAGUCUGUGGACAACAAAUAGUAGGAAGGAAUCCUUGGUUGACAUUUAUGGAUUGUAUACAUUUAUUGAACCCUAUAUGCAACCAUAAAGAUGGUUCAAAUUGUUAGAUUUGCAAAACACUGCUGACGAAUGCAUUUUCGAGAUCUUCAGAUGCAGUGGACAAGGAACGAACUAUAUGAACAAUCAAAAGCUUUGGCGGGGCUUGUGUUGAAAGGUGUUUCAAUGAUUUCAAAAUCGACUUCUAGUGUUACCUUGAAGCAAGGAAACAUAUCAAGCUCCAACACUUCAAGAUGCAAAAGAUCCAAAGUUGAAGUAUGGAAUCGUAUUAACACAUAACUCAUAAGAUAAUAAGAUAAG